ensembl:lncRNA
AGAGGCUUCCACUAAGGAGGUCGCUUAGAGGCGCGCUGGCUGCACCUCUUUGCCCACCGCCCUUUUGCCUGGGUCUCUUCGGAGCGGCCCAGCGGGCUCUGCGCGCUCCCCUCCGGUUCAGCUCCUGCUCCAGGGGAGGCCGGAUCCUCAGUUCAGCGCGCCCGACCAACCAUUUCUCUGGUCACGGCUUCCCUCCAGCUCCACGCGCAGUCCCGCAUUGCUCGGCCAGCUUUGUGGCUGUGGGUGAGUGUCCCGGCGGCAAUCGCUGGGGGAGGGGUUGGGGCAGAACUCAGGUUUUUUACCUCCUUUUUUCCUUCUUUCCUUUCCUUCUCCCACCUCCCGCUUUUUUUUUUUUUUUUUGGUUGCGGUUGCAAAUAUCAGUGCCCUUUCUCGCUUCCUAAUUUUUUUUUUCUUCCAAGGAUUAGAGAGGGGGCAGGUCCUCACAGAUCGCCAAAGAAAUCCCUAUCGUCCUAGUGACCACGGUUCCACCAGGUCUGUACAGAUUGUCUCUUCUGCUGGCUCCGCCGCGGCUCGUGGCUGUCUCUCUCCCUGAGUGCCUGUCCCCAGUCCCCUGUCCCCGUCCGUGCGUCUCUCUCAGGCUCCGGCGGCUUCGUCACUGCUCUCGGCUGUUCCCAGCCGCUCUGGAAGCCCCCUAGCCUUAAUGCAGCGCUCGACGACGUCACUGCGGGCGGCGGCCAAUCAGAGACUCGCGGUCCCUCUGUAAACCAUUAUCCAUCCCGGCGGCCGGGGAGAGUGCAGCGCGACCGCUUAUAGUGAAUCAACCGCGGGACCCGCGGCAAAGUACGCGGCGCGACGUGGCGCAGCGGCCCGGGGACCAGUCCUGACCCGCUCUAGGAGUACGGCGUCCACUUCCCAACGCUUUGGAACAUGAUUUACUGGGCUCUUGUCAACUCCCCUUCCUCAGGACCCAGGGCUGACUCGGAAUCUUCACCAGUCCCGGGGUCAUUUCCCGCCAGGGGCUCAGUCUCUGCUGUUAAUCGGGCUUUUUCCUGAGAUGGGGCCUGCAGAUGGUUAGAUGUUCGAGGUGACCGGGAGGGCCAGCCCUACGUAGGCGAUCCUAAGCAAAGGAGUUUAAGAACCGCAGCUCAGGGAGCCCGGAGUGGGCCUGAUGUGCCGGCUCCCAGCCGAGGAAAAAACUCCCCAGAAACUCGAACCACCUCUUCCUGCGAAAGCGAGAAACGGCUACAACGAAUUCGGCUAUGCAACCUUCUGGGUUUCGGGUUCUCCAGGCUUCCUUUUUAUUUACCCAUCCUUCCAGAAAGAAACGUGGCAUUCCUCUGCUGGGCCGGGACAGUGCAGAUCUUUGAGGUCGCCACCUUUUACUUAAAAGCAAACCUGAGGCCUAUGGCCUUUGCCUCCCGUUGCCUGCCCCAGCGGGCCUGUCUCUCCUCCUGAAUCUAGAGAUGAGAUUGCUCCGGACCUCACCUCUUCUAGAAUGGAAUGAGAGGUUGAAUUCUCCUCCUUUCUCCUACUCCCCAACUGUGAACCCCGGGGAUAGCGCAGACCCCAAUUAAAAAGUCUCUCAAUUAGCUUACUAAGUUUUGUGAAGUUUAUGAGUCUCUCCAGAAAUCGAGCCCCUAAUAUCGAGGUUUCGGGGUGGGGGAAUUGGAAAGAGACCUCGACUCCGUAGCUCUGGUUCCUUUGCUCUGUCUGCAGAUCUAGCAUCCAGUAGAAAAUCGGUCGACUUGGAAGAUGAGACUCCAAUACCGCGUCAGUUUCUUCCAGUGUCUUUAAACGCUUAAGGGCUCCCCUUCUGUCCCCCCCCCCCCACCAUUGAGGUCGAAGUUCGAGUCUGGGAUGAGGCGGUUGUUCCACCAAGCUGGGGGCUCCUUCUCCCCUGCAGCUGUGCGGGUUCUCGCCCGCUAGCUCCCUCGACCCAACCGCCCCUCUCUGGAAUCAAUAGCUACCCGAGUCCGGGGCGGCUCACCCCCGCCCCCGGCCCAGCUGGGUUCCUUCUCAUGCAAAACAGGGGGAACCCUGGGGGCUGGGGACCUAUAAGGUGACAGCUGGAUCCGGCUGCCGUCCCUCCCGAAGCCUGGGCUUCGGAGGCGUGUAGGUGGAAAGUGGGCGGCUCAGGGACAGUAAGCUUGGACUUGCAGCUUAUUUGGGGCCAAGGGACUAAAGCGGCCACCAGUUCUCCGUUCCUGCUUGUGCGCAAAGGAGGCAUGAACACUCAAAUCACCCCACAGAACCCACUUCGAGAA